GCAUUAAUGGGGUAGUGGUAACCUGGGUCGUUGCCAACCGUUCGGGUCACGUGACUACGCAGUCACUACCCCAGUAACUUCGACCCGCCCUGGGUUCGAUUCCCAGUUAAUGCA